AUGUGGACAGUUGAACACUUCACAUUUAACAUGUCAAGGGUCAUGAUAAUAGCUUUUGAUGUAUAUAAAAAUGCACCAGGAGGGGAAGAGACUUCCCAUCCAGCCAGACUUCCCAACCUGUGUUUUUAUUUCAGGUUUUUACUGUUUGUGGAAGCUGACCCAGAUCUUUCCUCCCUACUUGUGGAAAAGGAGUUUUACAGGAGAGAAAUGAAGAUGACUACAAAGAAAAGUCUUCCUCUGAGCUUUGGGAUUUUUUGCAGUUGGGUCUCAGGUCUGGCAGAUGGCCCAAGUGGGAGUGAUGAGGAAGGUGAAGUGAUGCAGCCUCAGACUCUGGUCCCCACCAAAAGAUGCAGCUCCCAAGGCUCCAGUUUGACCAGGGAACACACAGAUCUGCAGGAGCACUGUCUGCUGAGAAACACGGCCCCAAAGGAGCCCUGUGGCUGUCCUGGCCUCUUGGCAGCACAGAUGGGCAUCUCCAGCAGCCUGAAUUCCAGCUCCUGGCUCUGCUAUCCCAGUGACAGCAGCACAUUUGCAUAAGGAGCCACUGG
rnacentral:lncRNA from 1 species